UACGUAGGGUGCAAGCGUUAAUCGGAAUUACUGGGCGUAAAGCGUGCGCAGGCGGUUUUUCAAGACAGAUGUGAAAUCCCCGGGCUUAACCUGGGAAUGGCAUUUGUGACUGGAAGGCUAGAGUGUGUCAGAGGGGGGUAGAAUUCCACGUGUAGCAGUGAAAUGCGUAGAGAUGUGGAGGAAUACCGAUGGCGAAGGCAGCCCCCUGGGAUAACACUGACGCUCAUGCACGAAAGCGUGGGGAGCAAACAGG
rnacentral:rRNA from 1 species